AGCGUUGUCCGGAAUCAUUGGGCGUAAAGCGCGUGUAGGCGGCUUGGUAAGUCUGCUCUGAAAGCCCGGGGCUCAACCCCGGGAGGCGGGUGGAUACUGUCAAGCUCGAGUCCGGAAGAGGAGUGUGGAAUUCCUGGUGUAGCGGUGAAAUGCGCAGAUAUCAGGAGGAACACCAAUGGCGAAGGCAGCACUCUGGGACGUGACUGACGCUGAGACGCGAAAGCGUGGGGAGCAAACAGG
rnacentral:rRNA from 1 species